rnacentral:rRNA from 1 species
CCUACGGGAGGCAGCAGUGAGGAAUAUUGGUCAAUGGGCGAGAGCCUGAACCAGCCAAGUAGCGUGAAGGAUGACGGCCCUAUGGGUUGUAAACUUCUUUUAUAAAGGAAUAAAGUGAGGCACGUGUGCCUUUUUGUAUGUACUUUAUGAAUAAGGAUCGGCUAACUCCGUGCCAGCAGCCGCGGUAAUACGGAGGAUCCGAGCGUUAUCCGGAUUUAUUGGGUUUAAAGGGAGCGUAGAUGGGUUGUUAAGUCAGUGGUGAAAGUUUGCGGCUCAACCGUAAAAUUGCAGUUGAUACUGGCAGUCUUGAGUACAGUGGAGGUAGGCGGAAUGCGUGGUGUAGCGGUGAAAUGCUUAGAUAUCACGAAGAACUCCGAUUGCGAAGGCAGUUUACUAAACUGCAACUGACACUGAGGCUCGAAAGUGUGGGUAUCAAACAGGAUUAGAUACCCGGGUAGUC